ACUGGACUGAAAUCAUGCCAGAGAGAGUGUAAGGGGGGAGAGAGUGAGAGCGUGAGUGUGUCCGAGCCUAAGAGAUUACUAUGCCCACCCUUUCAUACAGCCAUUUCUUUCAUUAUAAUAGGUCUUUUCAUCAAAAUGACACAGAACCUUUAAAUUUGGACAGCGUACUCGCAUACAGUAGAGACGGCAGCCACUUCAAACCAAUUCCAAACCUGCUUCUCAGAAAUAAAACAAACUUGCUUCAUUGGCACACAUAAAUUGUUUACGACUCAUUAAAAAACAAAAUUGCAUAUCACACAGUUGGCAGCUGAGUCCAUGCGGGUGGAAAGGGGCAUUCACUCAUCUCUUUGUAUGCUGGCAGUACCCAACUGAAGUUUAGCAGUAGGCAGUAGCCGAGAUUUUUUGUGAAGCCAGACGAUGCAUGAGCUUUCUUCAUGGCAUAGUUGCUGCCAUCUACUGUGCUCCUGUGGGUAGUGCUCCCAAGCAAGAGAGGUUGCAGUGUUUAAACGUCACUUGCCAGCAUACUGAAUCACAGCCAGUGUAAAUGAAACAAUGCAUCAGCCAGACCAUUAACCUUUGCUCGUACAUACUCGGCUCUGAAGUGGAUAUUAUUUAUCAAGCGGUGUGCAGGGAAGCAUCCUUAGCAGACCUGAUUAAUAUGUCCAAUGGCACUACACUAAGUAGUGUCUGGCUUCAGAACAUUUGCUAUUUGAUAUCUGAGAUACGUACAGCAUGUUCACAGCAAAUUCUCCAACUGAAAACAGCAGAGUUCAAACCAAGUCAAUUAAUUCACAGAGUGAAUGGAUUCGAGCCCAGAAUCUCAUGC